CCUAAAAUUUUGCUAAAAAACUAUGCCCUAAAAUAUUUCGCCAAAACCUAUCUUCCAAAUUUUACCCACACUAAAAGAAUCUCUUCGUUUUUCUUCCCUAAAAUUUCAUAAGCAAAGUUGGGGUUCUUCUCUUAUCUUUUAGCAGAUCGAGUAAAGCAAAGUAGAAUCUCAUAAUGUAAUAUUGGAAAUCCUCAAUCUUUGGGUCAGCAACCUAUUACUUUCUUUACGGAGGUCCUUGCAUUAUGUGACCAUUCAGUUAUUUUGGACAAAAGUGUAACACAAGGUCUGUUCAGAAGCAAAAACCUUUUGCCUGGACAUUUAUUGGAACAUCGGUCACCAAUGUAAAGGAGUAUGGUGAAUAAUUUGAAUCAACUUCAGCCAUGUUCUACAGGAUUUUGUGGUCUAAAUAGCAUUUGUCCUGCUACCUGUGAUAAGGAAAAGUGCGGAUUUAAUAGAACAAGCUUUCUAGAUCCUCGACCAAAUUCCUGGCAGAGCGACAUGUGUAUACAACCAUAGUCAGGUGACAAUAUCUUCUAUUGUAAUGUCCUAGAUUUGCAGCCAGUAUACUCCUAGAACUUAUUUUUAUUUUUGCUAAACUUUAGGGUGUCAAAGGAUUACGUGAUACAAUUGAUUCUGGUGUCGAUAAUAUUGGUUCUUCAUCCUCUAUUCAGGUUCACAUGAUGAAGCAGUCGUUCAUAGAAUGAUAGAACUCUCUGUCCCAUCCCCCAAUAUCCACUUUAUUCCGCUUCAAUUUCCCUCCAUGGCGACACUCUCGUACGUGCAUUUGCUUCAAUUUAAAGUUGACCAGUGCUAGUUGUAUAGUUGGCCUUAAUAGGCUAGAUUAACCUACUUCUGGAAGAGAUUAUUAUAAACGUUUAUUAAAGGUGACACGUGAGCCUCUUAUGCAUGCUUUUAUCUGGUAUUUUAGGUUCCCUAUUAUCCUGAUGAAGAAAUAUGAUGGGGCUGGGGGAUCUCAGAGCUUGAGAAUCAGUUGAAAAUUGCAAAAUCCAAGGGUAUUAAAAUUAGGUCUUUGGUUUUGAUUAAUCCAGGCAACCCAACGAGGCAGUUAAUGGUUUAUUAGAUUUUGGAAUCUCAUCAUUGAUUUUAAUCAUUUAGGAAGAACCUACUGUGGUGGAGAAUUCUGGCCUUCCCUUUCCUAAUAAAACUUCAGAAUGUUUACAUAUAGCAUGAAUAGCUUCUAUGUAUCCAUUAUGUUCUUGCUGACACCAACCAACGAGCUAUUGUGGAAUUCUGCAAGAAAGAAGGUCUCAUUCUUUUAGCGGACGAAAUGUAUCAGAAAAAUGUUUAUGUGCCUGAGAAGCAGUUCCACUCAUUUAAGAAAAUUGCUCGGUCUAUGAGAUUUGGAGAAAAAGACAUCUCUUUAGUUUCUUUUCAAUCUGUAUCAAAAGGCUAUAACAAAUAAUGCAUCUUUGUGUGUCUCAGUUGCAAGUAUUGGAAGGCAUAUCUACUAAAGGGAAUAAAGAAAAUGCAAAUGGGAACUUAAGGCUUACAAACCUUCAGAAAUUUCUAUGGGUUUGAAUAAGAAAACCUCACACGCUGAUUAGAUUAAUGGUGUGGUCAAGCUUAUAGAAAUGGAUCAAUUAAAAAAUCAGGAGAUGUUGUGAAAGAUGUUAAAUAAGGCAUGUAUUAGAAAAGAAACUUGUAGAUAAGGGUAUAUCAAAUGGGGUUUCUAAUAAAUGCUAAUUUAAAUUGAUUAA